AGGAGCCGUAUGAGAUGAAAACCUCAUGUAUGGUUUUGGAACGGAGAUUUUUUGAAUAGAAUGAACGACCGUAAU
rfam:Triticum aestivum genome assembly, contig: Triticum_aestivum_CS42_TGACv1_scaffold_557115_7AL